rnacentral:snoRNA from 1 species
AUGCAUGCACACAAGCUCUCAGACUCACAGACACCCCUUCCUAGCCAUGGAAGAGCAGAUAGUUUCUUGCUAAUUGGCAAAGCUGCCACCAUUCAAUUGGGGCAGGUCUCGGACUUGGGCAAGUGACAUGU